GACGAACCGAGCGACCGUUAUUCGGAAUCACUGGGCUUAAAGGGCGCGUAGGCGGGCGGCCAAGUCAGGGGUGAAAGCCCCCAGCUCAACUGGGGAAGUGCCUUUGAUACUGGUCAUCUCGAGGGAGAUAGGGGCGUUCGGAACUUCCGGUGGAGCGGUGAAAUGCGUAGAUAUCGGAAGGAACACCGGUGGCGAAAGCGGCGCGCUGGAUCUCUUCUGACGCUGAGGCGCGAAAGCCAGGGGAGCGAACGGG
rnacentral:rRNA from 1 species